CUGUUCUGGCGGCCGCUGGAGGAGCUGUUCUGGCGGCCGCAGGGGAAGCUGUGCUGUUUCUGCUCCCCCGCCCUCAUGCGCUACUGAAUGAGACCGGGGCCGGAAUAUGACGUCAUUUUCCAGCCCCGGUCUCAUUCAGUGGCGCGCGAGGGCGGGGGAGCAGAGACAGCACAGCUUCCAGCGGCCGCCAGAACAGCUCCUCCAGCGGCCGCCAGAACAGCUC